rnacentral:lncRNA from 1 species
UAUUCAGUCAAUUUCUUAAUUCCCUGAGAUGCAUAUUUAUUUAGUAUUAGCACCUGUUAAUCUUUUCAGUUAUCUAUUUUUGUUUAUCUUGUUUAAAUAUGGAUGCUUCUUUAUUUUUCUAUUAGCAUCUGUUAAUCUUUCCAGGCAUCUAUUUUUUGUUUCACUAUUUUGAUUAAACUUGAAAUAGGGAGCUAAAUGUUGGAUAUUUUGCAUUUGUUUGCUGUGAGAAGUUUGUAUUUCAACAAUUGCCAAACGGUUAUUCAUGUAUUAAGGUUCCUCUUUGAUAAAAUUGGUUAAACUAGGUGACACAUCCAUUGGUUAAAGAGAGAAUUUAUCAAACUCUCUAGACGAUGGCAUGGGGGCACAAUAGUCUUUGAAUAGUGGCUAAACUUGAUAACACAAGGGCAUAAUAGUCUCACUCUUUAAAACAAGACUUUUCUAUGGUUUUUCUCUCUCACAACUAUUAGUCUUUUAUGUUGAUUUACUGUAAUAUUCAUCUAUUCUGUACUCGAUUUUAUUUUACAAGUAAUUCAGUUUUUUAAAUUUCUUUUUAUUUGUUUAUGUUAAUUUAUUUUGUUCAAUACUAGCUAUGGAAAAAAAUCAAAAAGAAAAGUGACAUUUUAAGCGUUUUUAAAAUAUGAAAAUACAUAGAGGAUAACUAUAAGAUGUAAUUUCUCUAUUAUUUUAUAUAAAAUAAUAUUGUGUGAUAUUUAACGGAUUAAUGUUAUUUAUCAUUAUGAUCAUUAUUUAUCGUUUUCGACUGAAAUAUUGUUACCAGUCGUUAAUCGACAAACAAAUAAAAGGUUCUUAAUAACAUUAGGACGUGAAGGAUAUCGUUUAGUUUUAAAGGACCGAAAUGAUAGCAAAGAGUUUCAUGUCCCAUACCUACAUAAACAUUCGGAAAAAGACCAUUAUUGAUAUGGGACGUGAAGUUACCUGGUGUAUGAGAUGUAGCGCCUGAGCCCAUGUACGUGUUCUGAUCAUGAGGGUUCAAUGCCAUGGUAUGAAACGCCUGCUCGAGAUCAGUAGAAGUGUAGCAACGCCUUCCUAAUUCUCGUUCAAACCUGCAAUAUUGAAUUGAGGAACUAAUUGUUGGUUUCUGAUCAUGAGGGUUCAAUGCCUAACAUCUUCAGGGCUUGACAAUACGAAGAAACAUCCAGGUGGUCGUACAGUUUAGUAGUAACAAACUUGUGCUCCAAGUAGACGGCUCGGGAGCUUUGAUUAUCUGGAAAAUAUUUUUCAAGGCAACCCAGGCUUGUGAAGCAGUCGAAUUUGGUUUAAGAAUAGUGAAGCAGGUAGCUAGAAAUUGUGAUGUACAUCCGUUGAAGCACAAUUAAGUCAAAACGAAAUCAAAGUACAAGCGUCAUGGCUGGUUUUUCUUUGUCUGAUGAAGAAGUUGCAGAAGUUCGGGCUACAACUUUAGGAUCAUUGGCAGGGCGGCUUUUCGCUCGCAGUGUUAAUUUUAGCUAAAAUUUCCG